CAGAAUAUUCUAAAUUGGAAGGGACCCACAAGGAUCAUUAAGUCCAACCCCUGGCCCUGCCCAGGACAUCCCAGCAAUCCCACCAUGUGUCUGACAGUGUUGUCCAAAUGCUCCUUGAGCUCUGUCAGGUUUGGGGCUGUGACCACUGCCCUGGGGAGCCUGUUCCAGUGCCCAACCAGCCUCUG